UCGGAUGUGGUGUAAUGGGAACAUCGCCUCGCAAUAUAUAUGAUAUUCAUAUUCGUAUUCCGAGACUGUUCAGGGUUCGAAUCCCUGUGUCUGAC